UUCCAGCGGAAAUUCAUGUUAACGGUUCUACUUCGCCGGAACUUCACUGUGACACCGGGCGGAAGUAAACAAAGAAAAAGCAGAAGUACCGUUAGCUUUCCUCCUGCUAGCAGCUAGCUGUUGGAGUAACAUGUCUGCUGUUCAGCGUCUCAGAGAGUUUAUCAGCGAGGAAGAGGAGGAGAUGAUGGAGUCUGAGGAAGACUCUGGUGAUGAGGAGCCUCACAGAGCAGGUCUGAGCUUACAGCACAGCUGAAGCAGCGUGUCUGUGCGGAGGAGGAGGAGGUUCUCCCUGAGCAGCAGCUCUGGAACCAGGAGAGGAGCUCCAGUGUGGAGCAGGAGGAACCAGAACCUCCACAGAUUAAAGAGGAACUGUGCAGCAGUCAGGAGGGAGAGCAGCUGGGACUGAAGGAGGAGACGGAUACCUUCAUGGAGUUUGAGUGCAGCACCAACGAUGAACACACAGACGUCCCACAGCAGCGUGUGCCCUCACUAACCAGGAGAGGAGCUCCAGUGUGGACCAGGAGGAAUCAGAAGCUCCACAGAUUAAAGAGGAAGAGGAGGAACUGUGCAGCAGUCAGGAGGGAGAGCAGCUGGGACUGAAGGAGGAGCCUGGUACCUUUAUGGUGACUGUUGCUGAGGAAGGAGAGCACAGUGAACCAGGAGGAGACGAGGAGCAGCUCCUCUGUCACAGCUCUGCUGAAGCUGAGAGUCAGCAUCUGGAAGGAGGCAGGAGUGCAGACUCGGGAAAAUUAGAAACAGAAGUGACAGCAGGAGGUUCCCCCCCAUCAGAGAGUCGGUGUAACUCUGACACGGGUGAAAAGCCUGUAAACUGUGAUGGUUGUGGGAAGGACAGAAUCCACACAGGUGAAUUUUGUCUCGCUCUCACCUGAGCGUCCACGUGAGAGCCCACACAGGCGAGAAGCCGGAUUCAUGUGAAACACGGAAAAAGGAGAAAUCCAUGUGAAAGGUGGACUGUUUCCAUGGCAACUUUCUGUCUGUCCUAGCACAAGAUGCUCGUACAGCAGAAACUCUCAAACUCAAGAACAGUUAAGUGAUGGGAGCGCUAUUCUGUGAAACGGAGUAAAGGCUUCAUUUAAAGCAGUGAAACAGGAAAAGCUGCGCGUUCAGCAGUCACACGACUACAGUCUGAUUUUAUCUGUCUUUGCAUCCUUUUUAUUUCUUUUAUGCUUCAAAUUGUGUAAUAAACCAAAUCAGAUGAUAUUUGUCUUUUAAUGUGACUAAACCUAAAACUACAGCUGCCUUCUAACUGAGCUGUUUCAGGACGUCCCAGGUGCUGUUAAGAGUUUUAACGUCCUGGUUUUAUUUUGGAUGCUUGCUUUACUUUGCACAAAUUAUUUCACAAAAACUUGUAAUUUGGUGGAUGGAAGGUGGGGGAGAGGUCCUUAUCUACACAGUGGUGGUAAUUGUUCUGACCAUUAGAGAAAUCAUCAUGUAAAUGAAACUGUGUAAAGCACCGGUAUAAAUAAACAAAAAGCAUUCUGAUAUUGGAACAGCCAGCUCGUAGCACUCACAAAGAGUAGAUCCCUCCUGCCUGAGUGCUGAUGCAGCAGAGGGGAAGUAGGUCACCCUCCCUCUCUCACCUCCAGCUGUUUUCCUCCCAGACUGAAAGAAACCAGUUCAGCAGCUGUCUCCAGUGAUGCAGCCCAGAUGUUUGUAGUGUAUGUGUAUAUUAAACUGUUUCCUGCGUG